rnacentral:rRNA from 1 species
AUUGAACGCUGGCGGCAUGCUUUACACAUGCAAGUCGAACGGUAACAGGGUGCUUGCACCGCUGACGAGUGGCGAACGGGUGAGUAAUGCGUCGGAACGUGCCGAGUAGUGGGGGAUAACGCAGCGAAAGUUGUGCUAAUACCGCAUACGUACUGAGGUAGAAAGUGGGGGACCUUCGGGCCUCACGCUAUUCGAGCGGCCGACGUCUGAUUAGCUAGUAGGUGAGGUAAAGGCUCACCUAGGCGACGAGCAGUAGCGGGUCUGAGAGGAUGAUCCACCACACUGGGACUGAGACACGGCCCAGACUCCUACGGGAGGCAGCAGUGGGGAAUUUUGGACAAUGGGCGAAAGCCUGAUCCAGCCAUGCCGCGUGUCUGAAGAAGGCCUUCGGGUUGUAAAGGACUUUUGUCGGGGAGGAAAUCCCCAGCGUUAAUACCGCUGGGGGAUGACAGUACCUGAAGAAUAAGCACCGGCUAACUACGUGCCAGCCGCCGCGGUAA